rnacentral:rRNA from 1 species
UCCAGACUCCUACGGGAGGCAGCAGUGAGGAAUAUUGGUCAAUGGGCGAGAGCCUGAACCAGCCAAGUCGCGUGAGGGAAGACGGUCCUAUGGAUUGUAAACCUCUUUUGCCGGGGAGCAAAAAGCGGUACGCGUACCGCAUCGAGAGUACCCGGAGAAAAAGCAUCGGCUAACUCCGUGCCAGCAGCCGCGGUAAUACGGAGGGUGCAAGCGUUGUCCGGAAUCAUUGGGCGUAAAGAGUUCGUAGGCGGUAUGUUAAGUCUGGUGUUAAAUGCAGAAGCUCAACUUCUGUUCGGCACUGGAUACUGGCAAACUAGAAUGCGGUAGAGGUAAAGGGAAUUCCUGGUGUAGCGGUGAAAUGCUUAGAUAUCAGGAGGAACAUCGGUGGCGUAAGCGCUUUACUGGGCCGUAAUUGACGCUGAGGAACGAAAGCCAGGGUAGCAAAUGGGAUUAGAUACCCCAGUA